rnacentral:tRNA from 1 species
CCCCAAAUAGCUCAGCUGGAAGAGCGUUCGGCUGUAAUCGCCCCUAUCGUGUUUACCGAAAGGUCACCUGUUCGAGCCAGGUUUUGGGGA